rnacentral:rRNA from 1 species
GACAGAGGGUGCUAGCGUUGUUCGGAAUUACUGGGCGUAAAGGGCUCGUAGGCGGCCAACUAAGUCGGACGUGAAAUCCCCAGGCUCAACCUGGGAACUGCGUCCGAUACUGGAUGGCUUGAAUCCGGGAGAGGGAUGCAGAAUUCCAGGUGUAGCGGUGAAAUGCGUAGAUAUCUGGAGGAAUACCGGUGGCGAAGGCGGCAUCCUGGACCGGCAUUGACGCUGAGGAGCGAAAGCCAGGGGAGCAAACGGG